GCGGGGCUGCCCGGUGCGUCAGGCAAGUAACCCCCAGGGCCAAUAAGCAUCUCCCGGGAACUGGCGCUGGUCGGAUCCUGGUCCGAUUAUCUGGUGCCCACCUGCAUUAGCAGGCCUUGGGAGGGUUCGAGACCAACGGCCAUGGUGGCUCCGCA
rnacentral:other from 1 species